rnacentral:rRNA from 1 species
CGAAAGCGACGUUCAACCGCAAAAGAAGCAGAGGGGGCUUAGUGGUGGGGUGACUGCGUACCUUUUGUAUAAUGGGUCAGCGACUUAUAUUCUGUAGCAAGGUUAACCGAAUAGGGGAGCCGGAGGGAAACCGAGUCUUAAUUGGGCGUUAAGUUGCAGGGUAUAGACCCGAAACCCGGUGAUCUAGCCAUGGGCAGGUUGAAGGUUGGGUAACACUAACUGGAGGACCGAACCGACUAAUGUUGAAAAAUUAGCGGAUGACCUGUGGCUGGGGGUGAAAGGCCAAUCAAACCGGGAGAUAGCUGGUUCUCCCCGAAAGCUAUUUAGGUAGCGCCUCGUGAAUUCAUCUCCGGGGGUAGAGCACUGUUUCGGCUAGGGGGCCAUCCCGGCUUACCAACCCGAUGCAAACUGCGAAUACCGGAGAAUGUUAUCACGGGAGACACACGGCGGGUGCUAACGUCCGUCGUGAAGAGGGAAACAACCCAGACCGCCAGCUAAGGUCCCAAAGUCAUGGUUAAGUGGGAAACGAUGUGGGAAGGCCCAGACAGCCAGGAUGUUGGCUUAGAAGCAGCCAUCAUUUAAAGAAAGCGUAAUAGCUCACUGGUCGAGUCGGCCUGCGCGGAAGAUGUAACGGGGCUAAACCAU